GCAAAGGUAGCUCAGCUGGUUACAGCCUGGUGCUGAUAAUGCCAAGGUUGCAGGUUCGAUCCUGUAUGAGGCAUCUGCA